AUUAAACGCUGGCGGCAUGCCUUACACAUGCAAGUCGAACGGCAGCACGGGGGCAACCCUGGUGGCGAGUGGCGGACGGGUGAGUAAAGCAUCGGAACGUAUCCUGGAGUGGGGGAUAACGUAGCGAAAGUUACGCUAAUACCGCAUGUUCUGUGAGCAGGAAAGCAGGGGAUCGCAAGACCUUGCGCUCUGGGAGCGGCCGAUGUCGGAUUAGCUAGUUGGUGGGGUAAAGGCCUACCAAGGCGACGAUCCGUAGCGGGUCUGAGAGGAUGAUCCGCCACACUGGGACUGAGACACGGCCCAGACUCCUACGGGAGGCAGCAGUGGGGAAUUUUGGACAAUGGGCGGAAGCCUGAUCCAGCCAUGCCGCGUGAGUGAAGAAGGCCUCGGUUGUAA
rnacentral:rRNA from 1 species